AUCGCCACACCCUUCCGGUCCAGUCUAUUUCCUCAGCCGCAUUAACCCCGGGAGAUUUAAAUUGCGCCUCGCCAGUGACGAUUGUUCGCCAGGAUGAUACUAGGGGAGAUUAUUUUGAGUGAAAGUGUUUCUUUUUCCUUGCUCCAUUCUCGUGUCGUUUCCCUUUAAUUUUGCCAGUCUUCGGCUUGGGAUGGAGGAUUUGCCGCCGGCGGGUCAGGCGUUGGUGCGUGACAGGUCUAAACUGAGGCCCAGGAUUAUCAAGACCAUCAGCGGCUACCCAUACCAAUGGCUUGUAGACCACACUUUGAGAAACAAGUCAGAAAUACGAUCUUUAUCUGAUGUUAGGAUCUUGUUGGUGACAGUGGCUGAGAGGUGCUGUAUAGUCAGCUGAUGUUUAUCCUAAUCUGUGGAAAUUGCUUCCCCAGAAAGGAGGUAUGUGAAGAGUCUUUGUCCUCUGGGACAGAGACCGUAAACGUGGGAGUCAGCACAGACUCUUGUCAUGCCAGGUUACUGUAUACUCCCCUGCAGGUGGGAAGUAGAGACAGAUGAAGUUGUCCUGCAGCGGCGGCAAAAGCAAAUAGAUUAUGGCAAAUGUACACCUGGUUACCAGUGCUUUCUGCAGCAGAUCCCCAAAGCACAGCGACAGCCAGGGCUUCACCCUCAAACACCAAACAAGAACAGGAGGUACAGCCGUCGUUCCUGGGAUGCUCAGAUCAGGCAGUGGAGAAGAGCUCUACAUACCUGGGACCCCCCCAGCCAGCCUCUUCAGGGCAGGGGUGCCGAAGGGCAGGGAAAGGAGAGUCUCUUAGAGCCCAUGGAUUCUACCUCUUCCGAUGGCCUCCUGGAUGACUGACUCCAGGCCCUGGAACCCUCACAGAAUCUGGAUGGAGGCCAGAAGGGGGCCAAGUUUGUAGAUUUGGUGGAUCCAAUUUCCUGCCCUCCCAGGCUCAGUGAGGAAGACAGCAAUUCACCUGUCCCAGACUUGGAUAGUGCAGAAAAUAUUUAGAGAAAAUAUGUCUUUCAGGGAACUUGCUGCUAAAUGUGAUAGUGAAGUCACUUGUGUUAAUACUUUCCAAACAGAAAAGAAAGAAAGAAAGAAAGAAAAGAAAGAAACCAAGAAAGCAAAAACUGCCUUACAAAGAGAUCACAGCAUGAUGGCAUUGUUUAAAGCCUCUUUUUUUUUUUUUUUGCUACCAAGGAUCAAACUCAGGGUCCUUGCGCUUGUGAGGCAGGCGGCGGAACUGCUGAGCUAAAUCCCAGGCCCUAAAAGGUCUCCUUUUUCUUUCUUUUUUGUCUUUCUGAUGCUGAGACUCGUGUUUACAGAAGAACCAGAAACCAUCUUCCUAAUUCCUUCACUUACUUAAGUCUACAUUCCGACUCUUUAAAAAGGACUUGAACUGUGGCUGAGGUGGGAGGUGGUAGUAGUGGCAAAGACUCAAUAAAAAGGUGGUUUCCCUUUCCUGAAGAGGAAAUAUAGUGCCAUCGACAUCGUU